GAUGAACGCUGGCGGCGUGCCUAAUACAUGCAAGUCGAGCGAACGGACGAGAAGCUUGCUUCUCUGAUGUUAGCGGCGGACGGGUGAGUAACACGUGGAUAACCUACCUAUAAGACUGGGAUAACUUCGGGAAACCGGAGCUAAUACCGGAUGAUAUUUUGAACCGCAUGGUUCAAAAGUGAAAGACGGUCUUGCUGUCACUUAUAGAUGGAUCCGCGCUGCAUUAGCUAGUUGGUAAGGUAACGGCUUACCAAGGCAACGAUGCAUAGCCGACCUGAGAGGGUGAUCUGCCACACUGGAACUGAGACACGGUCCAGACUCCUACGGGGGGCAGCAGUAGGGAAUCUUCCGCAAUGGGCGAAAGCCUGACGGAGCAACGCCGCGUGAGUGAUGAAGGUCUUCGGAUCGUAAAACUCUGUUAUUAGGGAAGAACAUAUGUGUAAGUAACUGUGCACAUCUUGACGGUACCUAAUCAGAAAGCCACGGCUAACUACGUG
rnacentral:rRNA from 1 species